rnacentral:rRNA from 1 species
UACGGAGGGUGCGAGCGUUGUCCGGAAUUAUUGGGCGUAAAGAGCUCGUAGGCGGUGUGUCGCGUCGGCCGUGAAAACCUGGGGGCUUAACUCUGGGCUUGCGGUCGAUACGGGCAUCACUGGAGUUCGGCAGGGGAGACUGGAAUUCCUGGUGUAGCGGUGAAAUGCGCAGAUAUCAGGAGGAACACCGGUGGCGAAGGCGGGAUCUCUGGGCCAUUACUGACGCUGAGGAGCGAAAGCGUGGGGAGCGAACAGG